UUUCAUAUCAGACGAACUUAGGGGAUCGAAGACGAUCAGAUACCGUCGUAGUCUUAACCAUAAACGAUGCCGACCAGCGAUUAGGAGACGUUGAAUACAAAACACCACCACCGGCGCGGUCGUCCUUGGCGUUCGUGUUCUCGCACGAGCGCGAGGGCGGUUUAGCCCGGUGGCACCGGUGAAUGACUCCCUACCAGCUUGUGAGAAA
rnacentral:rRNA from 1 species